rnacentral:rRNA from 1 species
AGUGAACGCUGGCGGUAGGCCUAACACAUGCAAGUCGAACGGCAGCACAGUAAGAGCUUGCUCUUACGGGUGGCGAGUGGCGGACGGGUGAGGAAUACAUCGGAAUCUACUUUUUCGUGGGGGAUAACGUAGGGAAACUUACGCUAAUACCGCAUACGACCUACGGGUGAAAUCAGGGGAUCUUCGGACCUUGCGCGAUUGAAUGAGCCGAUGUCGGAUUAGCUAGUUGGCUGGGUAAAGGCCCACCAAGGCGACGAUCCGUAGCUGGUCUGAGAGGAUGAUCAGCCACACUGGAACUGAGACACGGUCCAGACUCCUACGGGAGGCAGCAGUGGGGAAUAUUGGACAAUGGGCGCAAGCCUGAUCCAGCCAUACCGCGUGGGUGAAGAAGGCCUUCGGGUUGUAAAGCCCUUUUGUUGGGAAAGAAAAGCAGCAGGUUAAUACCCCGCUGUUCUGACGGUACCCAAAGAAUAAGCACCGGCUAACUUCGUG